UUUGAAAUUUAUAUUUUAGUAAAAAAGCUAAAAUUAUCUAUAGGGACGAGAAGACCCUAUCAAGUUUUACAAUCCAAAAUUUAUUUUCAAAUUAAAUUUAAAAUUGUUUUGCUGGGGCAGCAGGUAAAAAUUUUUUAUUUUAAAAUUAUGAUAAAUAAAUCUUGAAAAAUCAAAAAAUUUUUAAUUAAAAAUAAAUUACUGUAGGGAUAACAGCAUAAUUUUUUUAGAGAGUUCUUAUCAUCAAAAAAGUUUGUGACCUCGAUGUUGGAUUAAAAUUCCUGAUUCGUGCAAUAAUGAAAUAA
rnacentral:rRNA from 1 species